GGUUUGGUGGUGCAUUGGUGCGCGUCUGCAUCCCGCAAAUUUAACGUACAGCAGAAUCAGCUCGUUCGACUCGAGCCCAGGCCA